rnacentral:lncRNA from 10 species
ACUGCUGCAUCAGAACUCCAGUUGCUAUGCACAGGGGAGCUGGUGGAGAGGGCAGCACAGUCCUGGAAAGCAGCAUAGAAAGCUGCCUGCAGAGCUUCCUGGCUUUUUAGGAAUUCUGACAGGCAGGUCUGACACCUUGGUGGAGGCCCCAGGGAAGAGUGGUGUUUAGACAGAACAACGACCUUGGCUCACCACAACCUCUGCCUCCCAGGUUCAAGCAAUUCUCCUGCCUCAGCCUCCCGAGUAGCUGGGAUUACAGGCACCAGCCACCACGCCCGGCUAAUUUUUUAUAUUUUUAGUAGAGAUGGGGUUUCGCCAUGUUGGGCAGGCUAGUCUCGAACUCCUGACCUCAGGUGAUCCACCCACCUUGGCCUCCCAAAGUACUGGGAUUACAGGCGUGAGCCACCACACCUGGCCGCUCCACUUAUCAGCCCGUCAUCUAGGCUUUAAGCCCUGCAUGCAUUAGGUGUUUGUCCUAAUGCUCUCCCUCCCCUUGUUCCCCACCUCUCGACAGGCCUCUGUGUGUGAUGUUCCCCUCCCUGUAUCCAUGUGUUCUCGUUGUUCAACUCCCACUUAUGAAUGAGAACAAAUUGUACGUAUGGUGGUUUCACAUUUUAUCCAUAAGGGUGGUUAUUUUAGAAAUGUGCUAAAUCUAAUUAGAAUGUAUUCUAUGUGUACAUUGCCAAGAAAACCAACCACCAGCACAAAGCCCCACCCACCAGCCAUUUGUUGCCCGAUUUUAUUCCAAAGGAGACAGGAUCAAUGUUAGGGCAGAAGAUUGGGUGCCAGACUCAGGACCAAAACCAGACUAUUUUCCCUGGGAAGCAGCUGGUGAGAAGAAUCCGUGUACCCCUGCCCUGGGCACUGACCCCAUGAGUUGGUGCCCUGCUGUGCUCUGUGCUCUCCUGUGCCAGCCGUGCCCAUGCGUGGGCCGCCAGGCUCACCAUGAUAAUUUUUGCGAAGCUCAGGGGCCCACUGGGCUUCCUAAAGAGACCCUUCCUAGUGUUGUACAUCUGGGAAGGCCGGUCUCACCAUUCAUGUCUGCAUCUCACGGUGGGUGUGGUGUGAAUCAACACCGAAGAAAAUGAAUAUUAUAGGUGGGAAAAUGAGGAGAACCCCCAAAACCUAUACUACUGUUAUAGCUAAAGAUUUAAGGGUCUCUUCAAAACUAGACAAAUGCAAGAUAAUGAUUCACCACAUACAUCCGUAGUCAGGAAGAGACAGGGCAACCUGUGCGUGCAUCUCAGCUCUGCCACGUAGCAGCUAUGUGAUCCUGGGGAAAUUAUAUAACCUCUCUGAGCCCUUGCUUCCUCGUCUGUAAAAUGAGGACCAUGAUGCUCAUAGGCUUUUAUAAGGAUGAAUGGAAUGGUGUGCCUGGGAAGAGAGCUUAGCUCUACUGAUCACCAAUUGACUGUGCCUGGUCAAUAAUCGAUGAUCAAUAAAUGGCAGCAAUAGGUCUCCUUGCCGCCUUUGGAGACCAUAACAUGUGAAUCCCAACUUUCCCCUUGUCCUCACUUUGCGGCGAAGUACUACUGAGGCAAGCAGGGCCAGCUGACGUCCCGGCGCUUAGGGCAGGGCAGGGAGCCCUGCUGCCUCUCAGACCCUGCUGGUCCGGCAGGCCAUGGCUGCCCCACUCCCUCCACUCACUGCACAGCCUGGAGACAAACACCUUCUGACAGGGGGCUUCCAAAAUUCCUACAUCACAGUGGCAGGACCGGCGCAGAGGAAAAAAAGUCUGAUAGCGCAGCACUUCCCAGAGAUCACCAUGUUGUCCUCUCUCCUUUGGGUCUCUAAACACAGUAUUUUAUCAGAAAACCAUCAAUAUGGGCUGCUGAGGAAGGGGCCACUGGCCCCUGUGCUCUGUAGCAUGUUCUGGAGGGCUGGCAGCAGGCACCCAAGGAGAGAGCCUGAGCUCCAUCACCGUGGGCGCCAGUGUGAGGCAUGUGUUCACCUGUGGGCAGAAAUCUGUCUCAGCCCUGGAAAGAAGAAUGUAUGCUUCCAAUUUUUCUUUUAAGUUUCUUUACUGUGAAACAUUUCAAACAUAUGCUAAAGGAGAAAGACUCACAUGAUGACCUCCCCUGAGCCCAUCAGCCAACACAAUUGUUAACAAUUGGCCAGUCUCACUUCAACAUGGCCCCUUUCACGUUUUACCCCUGCCAGGUUGUGAAGCUGAUCCCUGGCCUCAUCGUUCAUCAGCAGUAACAUUUCAGUGUUUCUCCCUAAAAGAUCAGGGCUUUCAGAAAACAUAAGCGGUAUGACUAUUGCACCUAAAAAUUAACAGAAUUCAUUAGUGAUUUCUUGGAUAUGAUACCAAAAACAUAAACAAAAGAAAAAAUUGAUAAACUGGACUACACCAAAUUUAGAAACUUUUAUGCAUCAAAGGAUAUUAUCAGCAGAGUGAAAGGGCAACAUAUGGAAUAGGAGAAAGUAUUUAUAACUCAUAUAACUAAUAAGGGAUUAGUAACCAGAAUAUAUAAAGAACUCCUACAGUUCAACAACAAAAACAACAAAAAACCACAACUGAUUAAAACAUGGUCAAAGGAUGUGAAUAGACAUUUCUCCAAAGAAGAUGUACAAAUUUCCAAUAAGCACAUGAAAAGACGCUCAACACCAUUAGUCAUUAGGGAAGUGCAAAUCAAAACCACGAUGAGACACAGCCUCACAUCCACUAGGAUGACUAUUAUCAAGAAAAAAAAAAGAAGACAAGAA